ensembl:lncRNA
AAAAUCGCUUUCCUUGCAGUAAAACGUGAACGUGUAUUUUUGAGUGCACCAGAUAGAUUCAUGCUAGAGUCUUUACCUCACAAAAACUACUACAAGCACCAAGCUUCCUGAUGGAAAGGAGCAUCGUGCAGCAAGUCAUCAGGGUGGUCCCUUCAAGCUGCAGAUUUGUGUGUCAUCCUUGUACCACAGUCUCCUCCUCUACGGCCACUACAGGGAAGUCCAUCACAUAUCAGGUCACAGAGAGUGCUGGUGGACAUCUCCUCUUGCCCCAAGAUCUUCGUUGGAAGUCCACGGGACUUGGUGUCUUUGCCGUUCAAAGUGUAUAUGAACUCUCCAGGAGGCAUAAUGCGUCACCAUUUUAUUCUGGGCCACCCUAAAGGAUGACACCCAGCUUCAGAGACCUCCUCUUGGACUUCACCCCUGAGAACCAGUGGUUUAGCUCUCCCGUUGUCUGAAAUCUGUUUCCGACUGAUUUUCAGCUGGCUCAGGCUUAGUCAUUAAAUGGCCAGGACAAUGUUGAAUAUUCUACUUGAUCAGCUUGCAGCUGUACACCUUUUGUCACUUUCAGAGCAGCAACUCCCUCUUCAGCUCUUGUCAGUCUUUACAUAGAUAUGCUAGAAAACAGGCACCAAUCCAUUCUUUCCAUCUUGGCGUUUGCCCACAGGCAUAGUCCUGGGAUGACCUGGAGUAAAGGCAGCAGAGGAUAAAUUCAUCUUGCACAGACUUGUUCCUGCUCGUUCUGGCCUGUCUCUCCCCACAGAUCUAGCUUUUAAAUACUCAAGUGAUUGGUUUUGUGUAGGAAUGUGUGGAUUGUUGGGUUGGAAUAAUUUUCUCUCUGGAUUGCUAGUGUUUACAUAAGCAGAUAUAAAAAAAGGUUCUAUCACGGAUUUACAUAGCAGGCUUAUUUCAAAAAGUUACAGGUGCUUACCAAUGGCACAGAAUAAAAAUGUAAUUUUUUUUAUUACAAGUUGUAACAAAACCAAAAGGUGUAUAUUGAUUUGUGUCAGGAAAGGGUCAAAACUGAAAAUUUGCAACAAAGUCAAACCAGAACAGAGCAAGAGCAAACAGAAGCUGACAAAUAUAUGCCCCUUGUUGGGAGUUCAGCCCAUGGAAUGUUAUGUAGGACAAAAGGAAUGGAAGAGAUAUUUCAGUAACAUUUUGUUCUCUGUCAAAAACCUUCUGAAGUAUAAAUCUGCUGUGUAUUGGAGAAAGGAUACAGCAAUUGAUUCAAGUUGAAUAGCUUUCAUUUAACUAGAAAUUCCCACAGAAAGCCGUUCUUGUUCUGACAACCAUAUUUUUGCUUUCCUUGACUUAAAGAAAAUUGAAUUCAUGUUUACAUAUCUUAUAGGAUUGUUUUAUAGACAAAGACACAGGUCAAAUCCCAUCCCAGCAUGGUGGCUAUUGUUAUAGCAAACAGAAACAUUUCUAAAUGAAAUAAAAACAUUUCUAAGCCACGGCCUGUGGCCCUAGUAAUAAGACUAGGUUGAUAUUAUGAAACCAUUUGCAACUAUAAAUAAUUCAGUCAUAGAUGUGCUUUUUGUUUAAUUGGGUUUUUUUUCAAAUUCUAGUCUCUUGCCAACAUACAUGUACUUUACCUGUUUGCGUAGUAGAGAAGGAGGAAUAUGAAUAUGUGUGAAUAGGAGUCAGCUUUAUUUUGGACUUUCUGGAACAGAUCACCUUUUUUCUUCUCCUCAUGGUGGCUCCCUGAAUUGCUUACACUUAUUGAAAUCUCAUAAUUGCCCACAAAUAUGGAUGUGUUGUUUUAAGGGUCUUGCCAUGUCAACCAAUCCAGUCAAAAGCUAGUAGCCAAUGUCAGUGGUUUAAGAAGCUGAACUUCAGAAGUAGGACCCCCACGCCAAGGGUAUUCUGUUUUUAUUCCCCGUUUCUGCACUUCUCAAGGAGAAGUUAGGUGCUGCUUGUUUUGUUUUUUGCAAUUCCCAGACUAUUCUGGCAUUGAUCCUGGAAUCAUUGCAAAUGUAAUUUUUAGCAAAUAAUGAUUACUCCUGAAACAUUUUGGCUCUCUGUGGCCUAUGGUUCAGUAGAAUCUGAGGUUUUCCAGGUCCGUCAAGGACUUAAAUACAGAACGUCUUCAAGUUUAGAGGUGUGGAUCAGAAGAAAACUUCUCUAGGAAUAAAAGUCUGUUAGGUUUUCGCCUUCCUCCUCCUUCAAGGUUCUUAACUGGGUGCCUUAUAUUUUAUUUCCUUUCUGUUUUUCUGCUGAUUCACUGCUUGGGUUUAUUGUUUUCUAUUUGGGAACAGCUCUGAAAAAAAUACACAGCUCUUAAACAUAUAAAACAGUUCCAACCUGCUUAUUCUUACCUUGACCAUCUUUUCUGUCUUCUUGCCAGACCCCUGUUUCUCUUUCUGCUUCUCUUCUGGGAUUUUAUCUGGCUCAGCAGUUCUAGUGUGUGAUUCUGAAUUCUAUGGUUUGAGUUUCCUGACCAACUUCUCCUUGCAUCUGAGUCCACUUCCUGUGCUUAAAGCUUUGGCAUUCCAUUCACCGAUCCCAGUCAAAACUGAAACUUCUAGUGCUAAUGAGAUUAGUCCUUACAACACUAUUAAUUUCUUCCUCUCCAUUUCUUACUCCAUUGCUGCUCCUCAAAGACAAAAAUGCAUUUGUGAUCGAG